GGGUUCGUAGCCCAACCGGUAGAGCGCUUGCCGUGUUUAGGCAUGCUGUGUCAGUCGCUUGUUCGAAUCCAGCCGAAUCCU
rnacentral:tRNA from 1 species